rnacentral:rRNA from 1 species
UACGUAGGGUGCGAGCGUUAAUCGGAAUUACUGGGCGUAAAGCGUGCGCAGGCGGCGCGUUAAGACAGGUGUGAAAGCCCCGAGCUUAACUUGGGAAUUGCGCUUGUGACUGGCGUGCUGGAGUGUGGCAGAGGGAGGUGGAAUUCCACGUGUAGCAGUGAAAUGCGUAGAGAUGUGGAGGAACACCGAUGGCGAAGGCGGCUCGCUGGGACGUAACUGACGCUGAGACGCGAAAGCGUGGGGAGCAAACAGG